UACGAAGGGGGCUAGCGUUGUUCGGAAUCACUGGGCGUAAAGCGUAUGUAGGCGGAUCGUUAAGUCGGGGGUGAAAUCCCGAGGCUCAACCUCGGAACUGCCUUCGAUACUGGCGAUCUUCGAGUCCGGGAGAGGUGAGUGGAACUCCGAGUGUAGAGGUGAAAUUCGUAGAUAUUCGGAAGAACACCAGUGGCGAAAGGCGGCUCACUGGCCCGGUACUGACGCUGAUAUACGAAAGCGUGGGGAGCAAACAGG
rnacentral:rRNA from 1 species